UACGUAGGCAGCGAGCGUUGUUCGGAGUUACUGGGCGUAAAGGGUGUGUAGGCGGUUUUCUAAGUUUGGUGUGAAAUCUCCCGGCUCAACCGGGAGGGUGCGCCGAAAACUGGGAGACUAGAGUGCGGGAUGGGAGAGUAGAAUUCCUGGUGUAGCGGUGAAAUGCGCAGAUAUCAGGAGGAACACCGGUGGCGAAGGCGGGUCUCUGGGCCGAAACUGACGCUGAGGAGCGAAAGCGUGGGGAGCGAACAGG
rnacentral:rRNA from 1 species